AUACAAUGUAAUUUAGAAUAAACACAUAAAUAAAUUAAUAUUUUCAUUUUUUAUUUCUAAAGUCAUCGCAACCUUGUUUGUGGACACAUUUGCAACUCCUGUAAUCACUGUGAGCGAGAACAUCAAACGCACUAUUAUUAACUACGUAAAGUGUCUCCGUGAAUGUCCGUUGAAUUUCAUAGACCCGAUUUGUUCAUACUAUCAUGGAAAAUACCUGAUUCUCGGAAGAGAGUCAUUCCGUUGCUACAAAAGAACCUGCGACAGAGGUGGACGCUAUUUGCAUGACGGAGAUUGUAACAGUGAAUCAGAAGCAAUUUUGAGACGGUCUAGACCGAUAGUACCAGAUUUCUGGCCCUUCUUUCCACGACCCCAUUCUUAAUUCCAAUUGAAACAAUUUUUAAUCCUGCUCAGCCCUUCGCAUUCUAUUUUAAAUUUCAUUGCACGUACUUUAGCUUGUUUCAAAUUUUUCGAGUAGCAAAUGCUUAUGGGUAGAGAAGGAUGUCCACAAGAAGUCAGAAAAGUUUAGACGCCUAAAGUACCUGUGUACUUGAAAUGUGCACAUAUGAGUCACGCCGUCAAUGUCAUUCUAAGCUCAGAAAUAAAAAGACUUUCUGCCACUAAUUGGAUAAGCAUAUUACCGGCAGA